UCCUACGGGACGCAGCAGUGAGGAAUAUUGGUCAAUGGGCGGAAGCCUGAACCAGCCAAGUCGCGUGAGGGAAUAAGGCCCUACGGGUCGUAAACCUCUUUUGCCGGGGAGCAAGGGCGGGGACGUGUCCCGGCCCGGAGAGUACCCGGAGAAAAAGCAUCGGCUAACUCCGUGCUAGCAGCCGCGGUAAUACGGAGGAUGCGAGCGUUAUCCGGAUUUACUGGGUGUAAAGGGAGCGUAGCCGGCGAUCCAAGUCUGA
rnacentral:rRNA from 1 species